UGACGGGGCGCAGCAGGCGCGAAACCUUUACACUGCACGCACGUGCGAUAAGGGGACUCCGAGUGCGAGGGCAUAUCGUCCUCGCUUUCGUGUACCGUAGGGUGGUACACCAACAAGGGCUGGGCAAGACCGGUGCCAGCCGCCGCGGUAAUACCGGCAGCCCAAGUGAUGACCGAUCUUAUUGGGCCUAAAGCGUCCGUAGCUGGCUGCGCAAGUCCGUCGGGAAAUCCACUCGCCCAACGAGUGGGCGUCCGACGGAAACUGCACAGCUUGGGACCGGAAGGCUCGAAGGGUACGUGCGGGGUAGGAGUGAAAUCCUAUAAUCCCGCACGGACCACCGAUGGCGAAAGCACUUCGAGAAAACGGAUCCGACAGUGAGGGACGAAAGCCAGGGUCUCCAACCGGAUUAGAUACCCGGGUAGUCCUGGCCGUAAACAAUGUUCGCUAGGUAUGACACAGACUACGUGUCUCUGUUGUGCCGUAGGAAGCCGAGAAGCGA
rnacentral:rRNA from 1 species